rnacentral:lncRNA from 1 species
AUUUUCUUUUAAAUGAUUAUUGCAGCAAACUGGCUACUAAACAAUAAUGUAGCAACUUGUUAUGUCUUGUUGGCGUGGUUAUUGAUUCAUACCCUUUACGAAUUAUUCAAGACUUAUGGGAACAUUUGAAUUAACUUUCCCUCCUCUACUUGGAAAUACCCUUUACGGUAGUUUUCUGUAAUUCAAGUUUGUCAGAGUAAAAGGAAAUCGACAACAGAUUUAUUUUGUCCUACCCCAUUGCAAGCGAAAACAGUGAGUAGAAUAGAUGAGGAUGCAACUCACGAGUCACCCGAUCAAAUCACUUUACCAUUGAAUUAGGUCAAUUAGUUUAUUUUGUGUCAGAAUAAUUUCUAGUAUAUGAGGGCCUGGGUGAGGUUUUAAGAAAACAGAAAAAUCGGUCCUGAAAUUAAUUUAAAUUUGAAAGAAUAUGGAUUUAAAAUGGUGCUAACUUAUAAAAUAAAGGAAAAUCAAAUUAUUGGUGACAAUGAUUAAAAAAUAAAUAUUUGAUAAUCCCAUUCUAAGCAUUCAAACCCUCAUUUAUAACCGUUGACAUGUUCCCCUACGAC